AUACCGGCAGCUCAAGUGAUGUCCCAUAUUAUUGGGCCUAAAGCGUCCGUAGCUGGCCAACCAAGUCUAUCGGGAAAUCCACCCGCCCAACGGGUGGGCGUCCGGUAGAAACUGGCUGGCUUGGAACCGGAAGGCUCAGAGAGUACGUCCGGGGUAGGAGUGAAAUCCCGUAAUCCCGGACGGACUACCGAUGGCGAAAGCACUCUGAGAAGACGGCUUCGACAGUGAGGGACGAAAGCUAGGGUCUCAAACCGGAUUAGAUACCCGGGUAGUCCUAGCUGUAAACGAUGCUCGUUAGGUGUGGCACCCACUACGAGUGGGUGCUGUGCCGUAGGGAAGCCGCUAAACGAGCCGCCUGGGAAGUACGUCCGCAAGGAUGAA
rnacentral:rRNA from 2 species